GGGCCCGCACAAGCGGUGGAGCAUGUGGUUUAAUUCGAUGAUACGCGAGGAACCUUACCAGGGCUUAAAUGUAGUGGGACAGGUCUAGAGAUAGACCCUUCUUCGGACUCAUUACAAGGUGCUGCAUGGUUGUCGUCAGCUCGUGCCGUGAGGUGUCAGGUUAAGUCCUAUAACGAGCGCAACCCCUAUCGUUAGUUGCCAGCGAGUAAUGUCGGGAACUCUAACGAAACUGCCAGUGCAAACUGUGAGGAAGGUGGGGAUGACGUCAAAUCAUCACGGCCCUUACGUCCUGGGCUACACACGUGCUACAAUGGCCGGUACAGAGAGCAGCCACUUCGCAAGAAGGAGCGAAUCGCUAGUAAUCGCGUAACAGCAUGACGCGGUGAAUACGUUCCCGGGCCUUGUACACACCGCC
rnacentral:rRNA from 1 species